rnacentral:rRNA from 1 species
AGGACGACGCUGGCGGCGUGCCUAAUACAUGCAAGUCGAACGGCUUUUCUAUGGAAGCUUGCUUCCACUGAGAAGAUAGUGGCGAACGGGUGAGUAACACGUGGGUAACCUGCCCAUAAGAGGGGGAUAACAUCCGGAAACGGGUGCUAAUACCGCAUAGUUUUCUUGAUCGCAUGAUCGGGAAAGGAAAGACGGCCUUUGUGCUGUCGCUUAUGGAUGGACCCGCGGCGUAUUAGUUAGUUGGUGAGGUAACGGCUCACCAAGACGAUGAUACGUAGCCGACCUGAGAGGGUGAUCGGCCACAUUGGGACUGAGACACGGCCCAAACUCCUACGGGAGGCAGCAGUAGGGAAUCUUCCGCAAUGGACGAAAGUCUGACGGAGCAACGCCGCGUGAGUGAAGAAAGGUUUUCGGAUCGUAAAACUCUGUUGUCAGAGAAGAACAAGUUGGAGAGUAACUGCUCCAGCCUUGACGGUAUCUGACCAGAAAGCCACGGCUAACUACGUGCCAGCAGCGGC